AUUGAACGCUGGCGGCAGGCCUAACACAUGCAAGUCGAACGAGUGGCGGACGGGUGAGUAAUGUCUGGGAAACUGCCCGAUGGAGGGGGAUCACUACUGGAAACGGUAGCUAAUACCGCAUACCAUCGGAUGUGCCCAGAUGGGAUUAGCUAGUAGGUGGGGUAACGGCUCACCUAGGCGACGAUCCCUAGCUGGUCUGAGAGGAUGACCGGCAACACUGGAAUGGAGACACGGUCAGGAUGCCUACGGGAGGCAGCAGUGGGGAAUAUUGCACAAGGGGGGAAGGCCUGAUGCAGACAGGCGGGGUGUAUGAAGAGGGCCUUGGGGUUGUAAAGUACUUUCAGCGAGGAGGCGUUACUCGCAGAAGAAGCACCGGCUAACUACGUGCCAGCAGCCGCGGUAAUAC
rnacentral:rRNA from 1 species